AAUUCCAGCUCCAAUAGCGUAUAUUAAAGUUGUUGCAGUUAAAAAGCUCGUAGUUGAAUUUCGGGAUCAAUAUAUCGGUCGUGCCAUUGGUACGUACUGGUAUCAUUGGUUUCUCCUUUCUGACGAACCAUGAUGUCAUUAAUUUGGUGUUAUGGGAAGUUAGGACUGUUACUUUGAAAAAAUUAGAGUGUUUAAAGCAGGCUUUAGCUUGAAUACAUUAGCAUGGAAUAAUGAAAUAGGACGUUCGAACCUAUUUUGUUGGUUUCUAGGAUCAACGUAAUGAUUAAUAGGGAUAGUUGGGGGCAUUAGUAUUCAAUUGUCAGAGGUGAAAUUCUUGGAUUUAUUGAAGACUAACUACUGCGAAAGCAUUUGCCAAGGAUGUUUUCAUUAAUCAAGAACGAAAGUUAGGGGAUCGAAGACGAUCAGAUACCGUCGUAGUCUUAACCAUAAACUAUGCCGACUAGGGAUCGGAUGAUGUUAAUUUUUAAUGACUCAUUCGGCGCCUUACG
rnacentral:rRNA from 1 species